CACUAUGCUUAGCCCUAAACACAAAUAAUUACAGAAACAAAAUUAUUCGCCAGAGUACUACCGGCAACAGCCCGAAACUCAAAGGACUUGGCGGUGCUUUAUACCCUUCUAGAGGAGCCUGUUCUAUAAUCGAUAAACCCCGAUAAACCUCACCAAUCCUUGCUAAUACAGUCUAUAUACCGCCAUCUUCAGCAAACCCUAAAAAGGAACAAAAGUAAGCUCAAUUACAACACAUAAAGACGUUAGGUCAAGGUGUAACCCAUGGAAUGGGAAGAAAUGGGCUACAUUUUCUACCUUAAGAAAAUUAAUACGAAAGCCAUUAUGAAAUUAAUGACCAAAGGAGGAUUUAGUAGUAAACUAAGAAUAGAGUGCUUAGUUGAAUUAGGCCAUGAAGCACGC
rnacentral:rRNA from 1 species